UGUUUUAGAAAACCGGCCACCGCUUGCGUGCUAAUUGGAUAAGCAUCAGGCCUAUCUCGAACCGCCCCGUGCCCCUCCUCUCUCAAUCAAUUUCUCUCGCUUUUCCUCUUCUCUCGAACCAACCGAUGGGGCUCCUCCUCACCGCCACCGGCGGCCGCACGACGCCGGCUGAGAUCUUCUCCUUCCUAAGCCAAGCACCCUUCUAUAAUCUUAGCCUGUCCAGAUCCCAGACGAGCGCCCUGGGGAGGAGGCGGUUUGGUGCUUGCCGUCGGCCAUCAUGGUGACGCCGGUGAUGGGGAAUCGGUGGGGAUUGACCGACUCCGCGCCGGCUAGCAAGCUGGAGCGUAGGAGGAGGUUCGAGCUGGCCGGAUGCGUGCAGCAUAGGCUUCUGGACAAGGACCAUCUAGGCGUCAAGGUCAUCUUCCCCAUCUGCAAAGUUUGAGGCCAUCGUUGUUCUUGCUCCAAAGCUAGGAGGAGGUGGAGGCAGGGGGAGAUGCGUCUUGAGGCUGCGGGUCUUGAUCCAUAAGCAUCCUUUGCGCUCCACAUAGCGCACCACGAAGAGAACGAUCAAGAACCUGGCCAUCUCCUUGCAGGCUGGGUGACCUGGGAUCUGGCCUUACGCAUCAGCAGCUGCCUCCAGCGCUCCUCCGUGGAGUCCAUAUCCGACGAGUAGGCGCCUUGCAUCGCCCGAUGGCUCCAUGCUAGCCGCCUCCACGCGAAGUACAGCAGGCUCUCCCUCGCCGCUAGAAACUUCUUGCACACGUCCGCCGGCUUCCCCACCAGGUCCCAUGAGUAGGAGCCCAGCGAGUCAGGUCUAAGCCCCACCGCGACAUCAGGUGCUCGGUCUGUAUUGGCUGAGGAUUUCAAGUAAAUCAUUUUUUUCUGCCUCUCGCAGUAAAGACUUCAGAAUACAUUACUGGUAUGUACUAACCUCACUGUUUCAAGUUGACCAUUAUUGGAAUUUGAAUAAGAAGGAUGAGAAUUAGAAAUCCCAGCGUAUUUAUAAUCUGUAGUACCUAUGGGCUAAGAUUAUAUUGCUCUUAGUGUAUCUAUCUAUGUCAGAAUGUACUAUACUUAUUUAGAUUUAUUAACAUCAGUAGUACUUAUGGGCAAAUAUUUCACUGAUGCCAGCUUUCUUUGUUGCUUCAUGUACGUAUAAUUUGAAUGCAUCUACAGAAAUUGAAUAAAUUCACGUUCUGUAUAGGUAUGGGUUCGACUGUGUGUCCAUGGAUCUAAAAUCUAAUAUUAUGCACCUUGUUUGUGAUGUGGACGGCUGGCGCGAGUAAGUUGGCCCUUCAAGUGUGGUGCUCCCUGUUGUGCUGAAAGAUUUUUCUGUUCUCUCUUAGAGCAUCAGUUUAGCCUGCCAGUGAUGAGGGUUGGUGGCUGGGGUGCCCCCAGAGCCGCCCCGGCUCCUUUGAUCUGGAAGGCGAGCUAUUGCCAGUGAUGUCGGUCGCUGGGUUACGAGAGAGACCCUCAACUAUUGGUUCUGUGGCUGGGGAGACUAUGGUGCACAAGCCUAUGAGCAGUCCCGUACGGGUGCUGCAGGUGCAGGGGAAGCCAAUGGAACAAGCGACAUCAAUGAUGGGAUCUUAACUGACAUGCAUGACAAAUGCCCGGGGUCUAUAGAAGAACCAUGAUGUAAAACUAGGUGUCAUACCUGAUUCCACUCGAUCCGGUGGGGUGGUGGAGAGCACAGGGGUCCACUCGGCUGAGACUCUGAUUUCUGGUGGCCGAGAGCAGGCUUCUGAUUUUUGAACUCUGGUUUGUGAAGGCGUUCCAGGUCGCAGAAUUGCUGCACCUGUGCAGGAUGGGAGCCGAAAAAGGACGAAGAAAAAAAAGGGGAUGCUCAUGCUUCAGCGUGAGCUCUCCACCAAGCAUGAGCUCUCCGGCAAACUGAUUCGUGCCACCCAUGGCGAAGUACCACAAGAAAUUUGUCUGAAGGCUUACGAAUUUCAGGAGUUCGAAGGGGAUUGGAAAAGCAGAAAGAAGGUAGGUGUCUUGGGUGGAGAAGAGGGAGAAGAGAUGGGGACCGGAAAUACUCAGCGGUGGCCUAAAAUAAUACAAUAUCAUGUGGAGACAAGGAGCAAUGCAUGUGCGUGCUAAGAACUGAGAAGACAGGGGAUCAGAGCGUGUGUUCGUUACACGUGUAUAUGUCUACAUGUAUGACACAUACGUAGUGUAUUUUGGACGUAAAUAAUAAGGAAUAUACCUCAUGCAUUGCAUUAUUUUAUCGUGUUCAUUUUUCAUCUCUCAGACAUUUAUUUGCGGUACAAUCUUAUCACGUAAUUAUAAAAUUUAGCUGGGCA